AUGUGAGUAUGUUCUGUCAGUUGUGAGUUAUUCCUGUUUUGAGGAAGAGGAUGGUAGUUAAUAAGCUUAUCAUGAAAAGUUUUGCAAGAUCAUUUUCUUUGCCAUGCAUAUACUUUAGAUUCAUGUUAACUGGUUUAAUGGAAGUAUUUUACUUUUGAACUAUUGAACCUUAUAUAUUCUGUUAAUGAAAUAAUCUAUAUGCAAGCAAGCCCUUGAACUUGAUGAACAAACACAUUAAGUCUCUCUACUUUUAUUUAGACCUUUGAACUCCUUCAACUUUUAUUUUUGAAAUAAGUACAGUUUGGACAUGCCAACGACACACGUGCCAUGUGGCAAAAGGCACAAGUGUGAAAAAAAAAAAAUUAUGGAAGUAGAAAUAUGUUAUCAUAAAAGGGAAAAAAUAAAGGAAAAAAAAAUCAAAUUCAAGAGAAUGAAUUUGAAAUAGUGAACCAAACAAUAUUCAUAGGCUUAUUCCCUACCAUAUUUCAGCAGCUACCAAGGUCAAAAGCAAAGAUUCAUUUCUUCUGUUUGAUGUUUCCAUUAUCUAAAAAUAAAAGAAAAAAAAAUCUAGUUAUUCAAAAAAAAAAUGAUAAAUGAUUGAGAAAAGGUACCUGGUUGCAUCAGUGAAAUAAAAAAACCUUUACCAUAAAAUACCCUUCUUUACUCGUAUAUCAAUGCCUUUGCAAAAGUUAGAAGGCAAAAAAACCUUUAGUUCAUUGCAUCAAUUGCAUUCUGGCUGCAAUAAUGAUUACAAUUAUGUGUGACAAAAACAAUGUUGUUGCAGCUAUAAUGUGAUGGUAACAGUUAGCAAAUUACAAAAAGAAAAAAGUUUGCGUAAUGAAGUAAACUAAUAAAUAUUAAGAGAAUCAACUAAAAUUGAGAAAUCCAACUAACUAAUAAGUAUAAAUACAUCAUAGAUAAUCAUUUUUUAACACUAACUUACCCAUGCGUUAAUAUUAGAUAUUUAUAUAUUAGGAACAAUUAAUUUGAACUUAAUAUAAAAGAAUAAAUUAAUUUCUAUAUUGAAAAAUCAUAAAUAAAUUAUUUUAAUUGAUUUCAACCUACCCAUGCGUUAAAUUGAUAGAUUUACACAUUAGGAAAAUUAAUCAAACUAAACUUCUAAUUUAUAGUUGAAUUUCAAGGAUAUAUGAUUAUAUGUAAUUUAUUGAAAGAUUUCCUCAAAAUAUGUAUCUCUCUCUUUCUCUCUCUCUUGAAAAAAUUGCAGAUCUAGCAAAUUAGUGCAUGAAGUUAGUAGAUCUAUCACAAAUAUAGCAUAAAUGACAUGUUUUAUCAAGGAGACUGAAAGUAGGUUUUUGGGGUAGAGAACAAAACUGCGCCUGCUGCCGCCUACUGCAUGCACAAUUUAUAUGAUAACAUCCAUGAUGGUUGUUAGCGUUCAUUACCCAAACAAAAAUAGAAAAAUUUUUCUGUUACUUAUCAGGGUUAACGGUAAAGCCACCCACAGAUCUGUUAUUUAACAACCAUUACAUUAGCUGUCGUUUAAAUCCAUGUUUGACUGUCUCACUAGACAAGGAAGUAACAUGGGAUCUUACCUUACAGUUAACAGGGGAAAAGACACUGAAGGAGGAUUUUGGCGUCCCACAACUGCAAUCAUGACAGCACUCUAGAUCUUUCUUCUUUUCCCUGUUAUUCUUUUAUGUCUUCUUCUUCUGUUUGUUGAGGGAAAGAGAGGUGGUGGGGGUUGUUGGUUGAGGUGGGGAGCUAUAGAUCUCUAAUGCUCCAGAAGUGAGAUGUUUGGGGCAAUCAACCCCUCUGCUAUGUGAUCUCAAGGAUUUUAUGUAUUUGAUGCAUUGAUUUGAAAUAGAAUGAUUUUUAUUCAUAUGUGUUGAUUUGAAAAGAAUUGAAGAAAAAUUAUUUUUUUAUCUGGAUUUAUCAAAUAACUGGUUGAUCCAUCUGGGUUGACCUGUAGUCAACUUAUCAAGAAGACUAUUUUACCCCUGAGGCUUUGGAGAGAGAAAAUCCCACAUCAGUAUUAGUAAAUUCAUUAGUAUGAUAU
rnacentral:misc_RNA from 1 species